rnacentral:rRNA from 1 species
GACGAACGCUGGCGGCGUGCUUAACACAUGCAAGUCGAACGAAGUGGCGAACGGGUGAGUAACGCGUAAUCAACCUGCCCUUCAGAGGGGGACAACAGGUGGAAACGACUGCUAAUACCGAAUACUGAAGGAGGGGAUUGCGUCUGAUUAGCUAGUUGGAGGGGUAACGGCCAACCAAGGCUAUGAUCAGUAGCCGGUCUGAGAGGAUGAACGGCAACAUUGUGACUGGGACACGGCCCAGACUCCUACGGGAGGCAGCAGUGGGGAAUCGUCCGAAAUGGAGGAAAGUCUGACGGAGCAACGCCGCGGGAGUUAUGACGGCCUUCGGGUUGUAAAGCUCUGUUAAUCGGGACUCGGUACCGGAAUAGAAAGCCACGGCUAACUACGUGCCAGCAGCCGCGGUAAUUC